GGGCUGGGGCUCAGCGGUAGAGCGCUCGCCUCGCACGUGCGAGACCCUGAGAGUUCGAUCCUCAGCACCACA
rnacentral:tRNA from 1 species